GGAGGAAAAGAAACCAACCGGGAUUGCCCUAGUAACGGCGAGUGAAGCGGCAAGAGCUCAAAUUUGAAAGCUGGCCCCCUCGGGGUCCGCAUUGUAAUUUGCAGAGGAUGCUUCGGGAACGGCCCCCAUCUAAGUGCCCUGGAACGGGCCGUCAUAGAGGGUGAGAAUCCCGUCUGGGAUGGGGUGGCCGCGCCCGUGUGAAGCUCCUUCGACGAGUCGAGUUGUUUGGGAAUGCAGCUCUAAUUGGGUGGUAAAUUUCAUCUAAAGCUAAAUAUUGGCCGGAGACCGAUAGCGCACAAGUAGAGUGAUCGAAAGAUGAAAAGCACUUUGAAAAGAGAGUUAAACAGCACGUGAAAUUGUUGAAAGGGAAGCGCUUGCGACCAGACUCGCCCGCGGGGUUCAGCCGGCACUCGUGCCGGUGUACUUCCCCGCGGGCGGGCCAGCGUCGGUUUGGGCGGCCGGUCAAAGGCCUCUGGAAGGUAACGCCUCUCGGGGCGUCUUAUAGCCAGGGGUGCCAUGCGGCCUGCCCGGACCGAGGAACGCGCUUCGGCUCGGACGCUGGCAUAAUGGUCGUAAGCGACCCGUCUUGAA
rnacentral:rRNA from 1 species